rnacentral:rRNA from 1 species
GACGUAGGGCGCGAGCGUUAUCCGGAUUCACUGGGUUUAAAGGGUGCGUAGGCGGGCAGGUAAGUCCGUGGUGAAAUCUCUGAGCUUAACUCAGAAACUGCCAUGGAUACUAUUUGUCUUGAAUGUUGUGGAGGUAAGCGGAAUAUGUCAUGUAGCGGUGAAAUGCUUAGAUAUGACAUAGAACACCAAUUGCGAAGGCAGCUUACUACACAAAUAUUGACGCUGAGGCACGAAAGCGUGGGGAUCAAACAGG